GAACUGCGAUACGUAAUGUGAAUUGCAGAAUUCAGUGAAUCAUCGAAUCUUUGAACGCAUAUUGCGCUGUAGGGACAUUCCUUGCAGCAUGUCUGUUUGAGUGUCAGGUCUUUUCUCUGGCAAACAAGUCUUUUGACUUGGUUGUUGGGCUUGAUGUGAGGUGUUAACUCUCUUCUAAAGAGGGCUAUCCCUUUAAAUACAAGGCCAUUUGGUUAAGGGUCGCAGGGGAUUCACGAGUAAUAUUUGUUUAUGACAUCUCGUAUGCAUAAACAAAAUAUCUCUGGUCCGCUGAGGACUUAGCCUGGUCGGUACAAACCACCUGUCUUAUACAAGUCACGCUUGUUUGACUUUGGUGUGGUAACAAAGGGGGAAUUAGAGCUCGACUCUGUUCUCACUUUCUACUCAUCAUUGUCUAACUAUGCAAGUGCGACACAAAACAUUGUACUAGGACACUAUUUUACCACUCCAUGACCUCAAAUCAGGCAAGAUUACCCGCUGAACUUAAGC
rnacentral:misc_RNA from 1 species